rnacentral:lncRNA from 1 species
UUUUUUUUUUUUUUUGGUCUUUUUAGGGCCACACCUGAGGCAUGUGGAGGUUCCCAGGCUAGGGGUCUAAUCAGAGCUGUAGUUGCCGGCCUAUACCACAGCCACAGCAAUGCAGGAUCUGAGCCAUGUCUGUGACCUACACCACAGCUCAUGGCAAUGCUGGAACCUUAACCCACUGAGCGAGGUCAGGGAUCGAACUUGCGUCCUCAUGGAUGCUAGUCAUAUUCGUUUCUGCUGAGGCACGACAGGAACUCCUAUCAUAUCCUUUUGUAACAUGCCUGUAAACACAAGUAAACUCUUUUUCUAGGUUCUGCGAGUUGCCCUAGCAAAUCAAUCAAACUCAGGGAGGGAGAGGUUGGAACCUCCAAUCUACAGCUGGUUGGUCAGAAGCACAGAUGACAACCUGGGCUGGUGACUGGCAUCUGAAGUAUAUAUGUGUGGAGUUCCCGUCAUGGCUCAGUGGUUAACGAAUCCAACUAGGAACCAUGAGGUUGCGGGUUCAAUCCCUGACCUUGCCCAUUGGGUUAAGGAUCCGGCGUUGACGUGAGCUUUGGUGUAGGUCGCAGACAUGGCUCGGAUCCCGUGUUGCUGUGGCUGUGGUGUAGGCCUGCGGCUGCAGCUCUGAUUCGACCCCUAGCUGGGAACCUCCACAUGCCGCGAGAGUGGCCCUAGAAAAGGCAAAAAGACAAAAAAGAUAAAAACGAAGUGUGUGUGUGUGUGUGUGCUUGUGCCUGUGUGGGCGGGGGUGGGAGACAGGGGAACAGUCUAGUAGGAUGAAGCCUUUACCCUGUGGAAUCUGAUGCUAUCUCUGAAUAGCGUCAGAACUGAGUUAAAUUAUAGGACACCCAGCUGGUGUCUCGGAGACUUGCUUGUUGUUGUGGGGAAAAUCUUCCACACAUUUAGUGGCCAAAGUGUCAGAACUGAAGUGUCAGAAAUGAAGUGUUCUGUGUGACUGGUAAAGGACACACAGGAAGAUACACACAGGUGGAAAACAGAGUUUCUCCAUCUCUGUGUUCCCCCUGGAAGACCACUGCCUGGGUAAUCUCUCAGGCCCCUGAAUCCCUCCUACUUCUCCAUCCUCUUAGCUUGUGUUCGGGCCCCAUGGCACCUUCUCUGGCACCUACCUCCUGUGUGCUUUCCUGGCUCCACAGUGAUGUUCUUUUUCUUUUCUUUUCUUUUCUUUUCUUUUCUUUUCUUUUCUUUUCUUUUCUUUUCUUUUCCAGGGCAGCACAUGUGGCAUAUGGAAGUUCCCAGGCUAGGGGUUGAAUCGAAGCUGCAGCUGCCAGCCUAUGCUAUACCAGCAACACCAGAUCCCAGUCGUGCCUGCAACCUACAUGGCAGUUUGUUGGCAGCAAUGGAUCCUUAACCCACUGAGCAAGGCCAGGGAUCAAAACUUCAUCCUCAUGGAUACUAGUCAGAUUUGUUUCCCCUGAACCAGGACGGGAACUCCACAGUGACUUUCUGAGGGUCAGUUCACUCCUUUUCCUCUUUUCCAGCCAGCAUCUUAAAACUCAGCCUGAGUCUAGUGCAAAACCAACCAAAAAAACCACAGUAAACAAAACAUUUGUUUUAAGAAUACUUGCUUACAAGAGUUCACAUCGUGGCACAGUGGAAACAAAUCUGACUAGGAACCAUAAGGUUGCGGGUUCAAUCCCUUGCCUUGAUCAGGGGGUCAAGGAUCCAGCGUUGCCAUGAGCUGUGGCGUAGGCCGGCGGCUACAGCUCCGAUUCGACUCCUGGCCUGGGAACCUCCAUGUGCUGCAGGUGCGGCCCUAAAAAGACAAAAAGACCAAAACAAACAAACAAACAAACCAAAACCAAAAAAAACAAAACAAAACAAAAAAAGAGAAUACUUGCUGAUAAAUGAACCUAUCUACAAAACAAAAAGAGACUCACAGGCAAAGAGAAUAGACUCCUGGUUGUCAAGGGGGUGGGGAGGAAGUGGGAUGGAUGGGGAGUUUGGGGUUGGUAGAUGCAAACUGUUAUAAUUAGAAUGGAUAAGCAAUAAGACCUUACUGUACGGCACAGGGGACUAUAUCCAGUCUCUUGGGAUAGACCAUGGAAGACAGUAUGAGAAAAAGAAUGCAUAUAUAUGUACGACUGGGUCACUAUGCUGUAUAGCAGAAAUUGACCCAACACUGUAAAUCAACCAUACCCUAAUAAAAAAUAAAUUUGGGGAGUUGCCAUCAUGGCUCAGUGGAAAUGAAUCUGGCUAGCAUCCAUGAGGACACAGGUUCGAUCCCUGGCCUUACUCAGUGGGUUAAGGAUCUGGCAUUGCUGUGAGCUGUGGUGUAGAUCACAGACACGGAUCUGGCACUGCUCUGAAAUAUUCCUCAUACUAAAGAUAUGCUGUAGUCAAUUUUAUCCUCAUUUUACAAACAAGGAGACUAGGGACCGAGGGGUUUAGAAUAAAAGCCCACACUGCUCUGAUUCCCAAAUUUCAUGGUUUUAACCAAGAUGCUUCCUAAUAGCAAGUACUCAAAAAUUGACCAUUUAUGGCUCCUGUGAUGCUCCAAGAGUCAUUGCCUUCCUGUGUUCCCCACAUCCAUCCACUCUCCUUGAUCUUCCUCUUUUUGCUUUUCCCACUUUUCUUUAGGUGAACAGAGGUCUUAGAGCACUGCAUUAUUUCUCCCAGGGUUAAAAAGCUCAGCAUACCCUGGCCUAGUGGGAAGAAUAUUCAGUAUUUGGACUUGUUUCCAAUGUCACAUUCCAUCUCCGGAUGAUUUUUUCCAUGAAGCCCACACAGAGUAAUUACUAUCAAAUAGUAAGACAAAUACUUCAAUAAUUAACACCUGGAAAGGAGCCAGCCAACUGGCAUCAAAGCCAGACAGACUCAGUGCAAUUUGGUUUCCUCGAGCUGGACAAAUAAUAAUGAAGAAAAGAACAUUUAGUCACCACUGGAGUAUUUGGGCGUUAGUAGGGUGAUAAAAUCUGGACAAUACCAAAGAUGGGUGAUAGGAAAUUGGAAGUAACACUGUAGACAAGGACAGCUGAGCUGAAGUGACACAUGCAUUGGAGAUGGGACAUAGUGGAAAAUGUGAUGGGGCCCCUGGACAAAGAAGGCUUUAUAUGGUUGAAAACCACAGAUUUCACUGAGCUUUCUUAGGUUCUGUGUUGGCAGUCAAAUGGGGCAUUGGAUUAACUAACAAUUAUUCUGAAAUCGGUUUUAUUCCAAUCGGGCUGGCUGUACCCAUGGGCGUGAUGAACUGCGUUGGGGAAUGAAUGGAAAGUUCCACUUUCAGAAAUGCCCAAUCCUAAUGCUUCAAAUUUCCCCCACUACUUACCCUUCCGGAUUGGAGCCCCCGGGGCGUCUUAUUAUAACUCGUACCUUAUGAACAUGCUGGAGAAUUCACCAAAGGAAAAGCCAGUAACCUUUCCCUCUCCCACCAAGCAAGCUGUUGCAUGACCUAAGCACGACCAGCUAGGGAGUAGGACACACCCACCUGCCAGGUCACCCAUGUCAGUCCAGCCUAUCAAGAUGAUGACAGCCAGUUCACAGCAAGAGGGGCCAUGUCCUUACAGCACUGCUCCAUCAUGGAGCAGCAUUACUACCAGCUUGGUUUUGGAUUUUUUGCAUUUCAAAGUGUUUCUGCAAAGUUUUCUCAGGUUGAUGGAGAUACAACAGAAAAGAAAAUAAACCUUCCAUUUCAAUGAGCACAGGAUGUACCCACACAUCUUCCCAAAAGUAUGCAAAGUAGUCUUUGAAGAUGGUAUUGGCUCAAUGAAAUGCAUUAAUAAACCUAAAAUCAUUAAUGUGUUUUAAUAUGAGUGAGUCAUAAGAUACGCCCUCUUCCCCCAAAGCCUUCAUUUUCCCACCCACUUACAUCCUUUAUUUCCUCCCUAUCCCUUUCUUUUAAGUUUUUUCCCCCCUCAUUAAAAAUUACUCACAGGUCGGGAGUUCCCUUCAUGGCUCAGUGGUUAAUGGGACUGACUAGUAUCCAUGAGGACUCAGGUUCAAUCCCUGGCCUUGCUCAAUGAUUUAAGAAUCCAGCAUUGCCGUGAGCUGUGGUGUCAGCCACAGUCGGGGCUCAGAUCCCGCGUUGUUGUGGCUGUGGCAUAGGCCAUUGGCUGUAGCUCCGAUUGGACCCCUGGCCUGGGAACCUCCAUAUGCCCCCGGUGUGGCCCUAAAAAGACAAAAAAAAAAUUACUUAUAAGUUUGUAGCAAGCAUUGAGGUCUAUAGGAAACUGCCAUAAACUGGAGAACUAAAUGCCAGGAAAAAGAGAGGAGUUUGGGGGGAAAAAAUUAUUUGAAGCAAACAGAGCAAAAGUGGCAAAGAACGGGUUUGAGAGCAAAGUGCCCCAAGACCCAAGUUUGAGUCUGUGGUUCAUGUCUGAUAUUAAAUGGACUUUGUAAGCAGCCAGCCAUCUAAUGUAUAGACAUUCAUGUUUGAAAUAUCAGUAGAUCUAGAACAAGUGGCUAUUCGAAGAAGAUAAAUAUUAGAGAUGACAAUGAAAUUCAUAGCUACUGGGCAAACGACUCUCAGGAAAAAUGGCAAAGAGCAAGUAUCCUGGCAUUUAAUGAAAUUGCUGAUUAUUCCACUAGGCAAGCUGUCAAAUGAUGCUUUCAGAGUCUGUUUCAUCAAGGCUUGGAUAGAUAGGAUCCAUGGGAAAGUUGCUGGAGGGAAGAGAUUGCUAGACAGAGGAUUAGGAAAGCUGGUCCCUGUGGAGCAGGGUUUGGAAAAGGAUCUGUAAGGAAGAGGCAGGGGUGAUCAGACAGGAAGGAUGUGGGAGGCUCUUUCUCGGGGUGGGGGCGAGAACAGGGAUGUCCUGAGGAACAAGGGAGAGGUCAAGAGUGUGUCUGGCUGGGAAAAAAAUGAGAAAAGGAGCCAGAUGAGAGCGCCACAACCUCAUGCGCAAACGCAGAGAAGGGCGGGGCUUCAUGAGCAGGAAAGAGAGGUGUUCCCGGGGUUGGGGGUGGAGGGGACCAGGAAGCCUGGAGAGUGAGAUUGUUCCAGAAGCAGCAUUUGGCCUCAAAACCCCGG